rnacentral:rRNA from 1 species
UGCGUAGGCGGCGUCGUAAGUCAGAAGUGAAAGCUUACAGCUUAACUGUGAAAUUGCUUUUGAUACUGCGGUGCUUGAAUUAGGUUGAGGUUAGCGGAAUGUGACAUGUAGCGGUGAAAUGCAUAGAUAUGUCAUAGAACACCAAUUGCGAAGGCAGCUGGCUAGGCCUAUAUUGACGCUCAGGCACGAAAGCGUGGGGAGCGAACAGGAUUAGAUACCCUGGUAGUC